rnacentral:rRNA from 1 species
GUUGUAUGGUUAAGUGACUAAGCGUACAGGGCGGAUGCCUUGGCAAUCAGAGGCGAUGAAGGACGUGCUAAUCUGCGAAAAGCUUGGAUGAGUCGAUAAGAGGCGUUUAAUCCAAGAUGUCCGAAUGGGGAAACCCAGUAGAUGAAGAAUCUACUAUCAAUAAAUGAAUACAUAGUUUAUUGAGGCGAACCGGGAGAACUGAAACAUCUAAGUACCCCGAGGAAAAGAAAUCAACCGAGAUUCUGUGAGUAGCGGCGAGCGAAAGCGGAAGAGCCAGUAAGUUUUAGCUAGCAUAUUAGAGGAAUUGGCUGGGAAGCCAAAUCAAAGAGGGUGAUAAUCCCGUACUCGAAAGUAUGGUAGUAGAACUAAGCUUACGAUAAGUAAGGCGGGACACGAGAAAUCCUGUUUGAAGAUGGGGGGACCAUCCUCCAAGGCUAAAUACUCCUGAUUGACCGAUAGUGAACCAGUACUGUGAAGGAAAGGCGAAAAGAACCCCGGUGAGGGGAGUGAAAUAGAACCUGAAACCCUGUACGUACAAGCAGUAGGAGCGAGGGCAACCUUGUGACUGCGUACCUUUUGUAUAAUGGGUCAGCGACUUAUAUUUUGUAGCGAGGUUAACUGAAUAAGGGAGCCGAAGGGAAACCGAGUCUUAACUGGGCGUUGAGUUGCAAGGUAUAGACCCGAAACCCGGUGAUCUAGCCAUGGGCAGGUUGAAGGUUGGGUAACACUAACUGGAGGACCGAACCGACUAAUGUUGAAAAAUUAGCGGAUGACUUGUGGCUGGGGGUGAAAGGCCAAUCAAACCGGGAGAUAGCUGGUUCUCCCCGAAAUCUAUUUAGGUAGAGCCUUGAGCGGACACCUUCGGGGGUAGAGCACUGUUUCGGCUAGGGGUCCAUCCCGGAUUACCAACCCGAUGCAAACUGCGAAUACCGAAGAGUGAUACUCAGGAGACACACGGCGGGUGCUAACGUUCGUCGUGGAGAGGGAAACAACCCAGACCGCCAGCUAAGGUCCCGAAGUCUAUAUUAAGUGGGAAACGAAGUGGGAAGGCUUAGACAGCUAGGAUGUUGGCUUAGAAGCAGCCAUCAUUUAAAGAAAGCGUAAUAGCUCACUAGUCGAGUCGGCCUGCGCGGAAGAUGUAACGGGGCUCAAAUAUAGCACCGAAGCUGCGGCAUCAGAAUUUAUUCUGUUGGGUAGGGGAGCGUUGUGUAAGCGGAUGAAGGUGGCUCGAGAGGGUUGCUGGACGUAUCACAAGUGCGAAUGCUGACAUAAGUAACGAUAAAACGAGUGAAAAACUCGUUCGCCGGAAGACCAAGGGUUCCUGUCCAACGUUAAUCGGGGCAGGGUGAGUCGGCCCCUAAGGCGAGGCUGAAAAGCGUAGUCGAUGGGAAACGGGUUAAUAUUCCCGUACUUGGUAAAGCUGCGAUGUGGGGACGGAGAAGGUUAGGUAAGCGGACUGUUGGAUAUGUUCGUUUAAGCAGGUAGUUGGAAAGGGUAGGCAAAUCCGCUCUUUCAUACAACAACGAGACGUGAUGACGAGGCUCUACGGAGCUGAAGUUACCGAUACCCAGCUUCCAGGAAAAGCCACUAAGCGAAAGGCUUUACUAAACCGUACUGAAAACCGACACAGGUGGUCAGGUAGAGAAUACUCAGGCGCUUGAGAGAACUCGGGUGAAGGAACUAGGCAAAAUAGCACCGUAACUUCGGGAGAAGGUGCGCUUACAGUAAUUGUAGUCCCUUGCGGAUGAAGGUGAAGUAAGUCGAAGAUACCAGCUGGCUGCAACUGUUUAUUAAAAACACAGCACUCUGCAAACACGAAAGUGGACGUAUAGGGUGUGAUGCCUGCCCGGUGCUGGAAGGUUAAUUGAUGGUGUUAUCGAAAGAGAAGCUCCUGAUCGAAGCCCCAGUAAACGGCGGCCGUAACUAUAACGGUCCUA